AGCUUUGUGCAGUGGAAGUAUCAUAGCCACUGAGGUUUAUCCAAGCUGUGAUUAUUGCUAAUGAAAUUAAUUCUCAGUAUUUCAUGAUGAUAAAACUUAAAUAUAGUUAUAGAUAAUUUUAUUAACAUAACACUAAUUGU